UACAGAGGUCUCAAGCGUUGUUCGGAUUCAUUGGGCGUAAAGGGUGUGUAGGUGGCGCGCUAAGUCGGGUGUGAAAUUUCGGAGCUUAACUCCGAAACUGCAUUCGAUACUGGCGUGCUUGAGGACUGGAGAGGAGACUGGAAUUCAUGGUGUAGCAGUGAAAUGCGUAGAGAUCAUGAGGAAGACCAGUGGCGAAGGCGGGUCUCUGGACAGUUCCUGACGCUGAGACACGAAAGCGUGGGUAGCAAACAGG
rnacentral:rRNA from 1 species